rnacentral:rRNA from 1 species
AGAUUGAACGCUGGCGGCAUGCCUUACACAUGCAAGUCGAACGGCAGCACGGGAGCAAUCCUGGUGGCGAGUGGCGAACGGGUGAGUAAUACAUCGGAACGUGCCCAAUCGUGGGGAUAACGCAGCGAAAGCUAGUGCUAAUACCGCAUAAGAUCUACGGAUGAAAG